AGCCCUCUCUCUCUCUCUCUCUCUCUCUCUUAUACGCACACAUCUCUCUUAUCUUAUACGCAGACAUCUCUCUCUGUCUCUCUCAAUGACGAAGAAGGCGGAGGAGAUAACUCUACGAAGAAGCUUCGUCUCUCGAAAGAUCAAUCGGCUGUUCUUGAAGAGAGCUUCAAAGAACACAAGCUCUAUCGGCUGUUCAGAGUGAUUUCGAAGCAAUUUCAAAGAUUCAAAUUGAUAUCAAUCGGCUGUUCAGUGCAAUUUCGAAGAUUCAGAUCGAUUUCGAGAUUCAGAACGAUUUCGAAGUUCCGUCGCCACCGUCAUCUGCACCGGCGAGGUCGUUUGAUGCUAAAGAGUAGAUGGAAGAUGAUCAAAACAUAGGAGAGAAAAGCUGCCUACAGCUAGCCUGAAUUUUGGAGCCUACAUGCAAGGACUUGGUAUAUAAAGGAUAGUAUUCUCUCUAAUUCAAUUGAAUAUCUAGUUUAAAUUUUGUGAGAGGGUUACAAACUAUUGAUGUGUUAUAACCUUAUAUAUUGAAAUGGAUAAUCUUCAUUCAACUAUGUAAUGGAGAGAAUCUAAAUGUGAAAGAUCUGUUUCAUCAUGUAUAUUUAACUUUGGAUGUAGAAUUAUACCUUUGGCCGAAUUAGAGGAGAAAUGUAGGCCGACAUGUCCCCUUGAAAUUGUUUUGACAUUGUUUAAUUGGUUUUUGAGGAGUAUGAACAAUUUCAUGGGAGUUAAAAAAUGAUUCUCUCACUUUUUCUAAUGUCAUAUUUUUCUAAUUAACAUAGUAUGUGUAGUCUCAUGCUAUUACUAAUCUUGUUCAUUUAUGAAAUUAUGAUUUUAUUUAAAUUUACAAAAAAAUUAUAGUAGUUAUUAAAAAUAGCAUAAGAGCAUCUUUAACCAUAUUCUUUAAAAAGCUUAAAUUAGGAAUUUUGGCUACCAUUGAUUCAGUUGUAGUCCUCCAACAUUCUUUGAAAGUAUGUUAUUUUGAUUCAUCCACUGCAAACUUUCUACAUUCGAAGAGCAUAACAGUAUCUCCAGUAAUGUUUUUUAAAUUUUUUCUAUAAUAGGGAAAAUACUUAAUUUUUUUUUUUAUAAAAAAAUAGGGACUUAUUUUUUUUUAAUUUUGUCUUGCAUGUAGGUAGGGAGUCUGUUAGAGUGAAUUUUGAAGAUUUAUCUUAUUUUUUUAAUUGCCUCUGCCUGGUUGUUUCUUGCCUGUAUUUUUUAAUAAUGAUAGGUAGCAUAUCCAAUGUAUGUGUAAAAUAUGUUGUCUAUCAUCGUUUCUGUUAACUGUUUUUGUCUUGAUGAUGGCCAAGAUAUUUUUAACUUCUAUACUUGGCUAAAGUGUGAUUGGGAGUAGAUGUGGAGGCAUACUAUGAUAGUGACAUUAGUUUAUUGAAUGUGAGCAUGCCCAAUCACUGAAUCUGCCAUUAUUUGAACCAUUUAUCAAUUUGUGCCAGUUAAGCUCCAAGGCUCAAUGUCAGAAUCUAAGUUCAUUUUAUUUUUUGUAGUUCCUUGCUAUGAAAAUGUUGAGAGGAGACAUGGUGCCUCACCCUUAGUCAUUGUCAUAGGUGGUGGCUUUGCCAGUAUGGCAGCUGCUCGGGCCCUUCAUGAUGCUUCAUUUCAGUUAUGUAUUACUACAAGCACUUCUGCUGGCUUAGAGCAGACUCUACCAUGGAUUUUCUAUCAUAAGGUUAUUGGUGUUUCAACCUUUUUCCUGUUUGUUGAAGGAAAAACUGCAACCCCUGACUUAUCAAAAGUCCUAGAAUCCAUUUCAGGAGUAAAAGUCAUUUACAGAGCAAAGGAAUUAGAGGAGCAACAACCUAGAAGGUCGGUUCCCUUUGCCACUUGGAUUGUUACAUAUGUUAUGCUAAAUUUUCAAGCUAAGUUUUUCAUAUAAUUUCUGUUAGAUUGCUUGAUAUACAUCGCUGGGUUCAUUUCUUAACAUAUAUCUGAGGACAAUUGGAGAUUGAAUAAUUUUACUUGUUUAUUUUUUGCCAAGCAAUAGAAGAAUCUCUAAUCCCUUGACCCCAUGUUUUUAACCAUCACCCAUUAUCAACUGAGGUCUUUUCUUUUUAGUCUAUCCCCAUGCCACGAAACUAAUAGAUCACUGGCAAUGUUGCAGCUAGGUUGAAGGCACGUAUUUUAAGGUUUCAUAAUUACUCGAAGUUCUCAUUUUGGUACUGUAUGUAGCCUCGAUUGGUUAGUCUUCAAUUUCAUUGUUCUUUAUUAUUUGUGUUGUUCAGCCGGAUCUGGAAUGAGACUUGGUUGGCAAGCCUUUUCUACAAACCUUGCAACUAUGAGUUAUUUGUGAAGCAAUCCCUUAACAUGGAACAUUUUUCUCUACUCAGCCCAUAGAACAUUUUUCUCUCUGACUUCUCUCUUUUCUCUACUCAGCGUAUAAGUAAUUGAUGACAAUGAAAAUGAAAACCCACUAAGAGAAGAGAGAACAAAGCAUAAUUCAAUGCACAAACUUGAGAGUCCAUAGAUCAACAACACACAUGUCAAUGGCAGAGCAGCUCAACGUUUAUCACAUGGCUUGCAUGCGAGUGUCAAUCGAUUCUUGUUCUCGCUGAUGGAACAAGAUCACACACAGACAAAUCAAGGAGUAAAAAAAAAGUCAGCCAUGGAAGCUAAAGAAAUUUAGGAGACUUUUCCAUUCUCUGAGUUUCGGUGGAAUUUAUCGAAUUUGGUCAUUAUGCUGAGGAAUAGAUAUAGAGCAGUGACGACCAAGCAAGCUAUAAUGGCGGACCAGAGCUCUCUAGCUUCUCUCCCCCAAAUCACACCAUACCCAUUUCUUCUUUCUUUGGUUCUCCAAGGUUUUUCAAUGGGUUUCAAGCAAUGGGUCACUCUGAAACUGAAACAAUGAGUCCUAUUCCUAGUUCAAUUCCUGACAUCAAACCAUUCUCCCCUGUUGGCAACCAAUUCCCCAACAGUUUCUAGGAAACAAACACUCCUGGGAAAAUUAAACCCGAAAGGCAUUGGUCUUUCAUAGUACUUGUAUGUAUAAUUAGUUUGAAUUACAUCUUUUGUGCCGAUGUGUUUUGUAAUAACUUUCAACUUACCACUAGGUAUUAGUUUAACUCUAUUUCAUCUUGGAAUUGAAAUAUUUUUGCAUAUUGAGAAGCAUGA